UUAAUCGAUCGAUUUAAUUUCCUUUUGGGACAAACUGCAGAGAUUUCCACGUCUCCUUUGUCAGGCUGUGGGACAGAAAGCGUUUAAAGUUUCAGAGCUCUAAUGUGCAGCUGUCACCCUAAUAAUACACACUUCUUUUGCCUUACAUCUUUCUGUGUGAGCAAAUGUCUCCAUCCAAGGUUGGGUCGGGUCACUUAUGUGAGACGUGUCCCCAUGCAGUCCUCCACAAUCCUGACUGCGUGGUGCUAGAAGUGGAUGUUGACUGGUUGAUAAGUGGGCGAGGAUAGCACAAGCUGGUGAUUUCAUACCUGCCGAUUUCUAAUCGGCUCCAGAAUAGGUUAUGUUCACAUCAAGUUACCAUGGUGAUAUUAUGGUAGUCUUUACCUUAUUAUAGCCUUAUAAAGCCCACUGAUGCAAUUGUUGUUAUGAUUUGGUACUAUACACACUGGAAGUGUGUUUGGGGUCACUCUCCUAUCAAACAGGAUAGGAGAGUUUGAGGACUUGACUUUAAUUUUGCUUUGUUUGUCAGCUUGACAGAAUGAAGACUGACACUGAUGUUUAUUUUUAGUAUCUGAAAAGAAAAUAUAAUCUUAAUCUUAAUAUAAAUAAAGCUUAAAUGACUAAUAAAAUGUGUAUGUCUGUCUUUUUCUCCGUGUUUAUUUUGCCAUUUCGGUUGCUUCCUUGUACUUUUACUUUAAGAUGAAUCAUUUCAAUUAACCUCAAUAAUUAUAAUAAAUUCUUACAGGUGGUCCAAUGUUUCUGGAUUACCCACAGCCGCCUCUGUCUGCAUAAAAGCAGUGCUGGAACACUGGUGUACCAUGGCCUCGUGAGCAUCAGGGGAACAGCAUUGUCCUUGUUGCUACAGAAAAUGCGCCAUGCUGUACCCUCUGGUAAGCUUGAAAAUAUGGAGUGGCCAGCACGGUCUCCAGACUUAAACCCCAUCAAGCUGGUUUGGGAUGAACUGGACCGAAGAGUGAAAGCAAAGCAACCUACAAGUGUCAAACAUUGUAGAAAGAACGCCACGACUGUGUUCAGCUGUUAUAUCUGCCAAAGGUGGCUACUUUGAUGAGAAGUUGAGAAUACAUUUGUCUUUAAAUUGAUUCUGAUUUCUUUUUUAACUCCAAUUGCUUAUUUGUACUGUGCUUUCAUUUCAGAGUACAAUGAGACAUUAAACUGGAUAAUUUCCAAUAAGCUCUGAUGAAGCUGGAUUGACCAAAGUUAUUGUUUGUGUCGUGUUUCCAUGUGUUCAGUAACUUUACUGUUAUUUGUAUUUUGUUUCUAAGUGUGCUGUCGUCUCCACAGCAGUGAUCUGGUUUCUCUGCAGUUUCAAUAAACUUUGGUCUCACUUGA